CUCCAAUGGGUGAAGUCAGGGACUAUCAGUUCAAUGAAUAAAUAUCUUAUUUGGAACUAUUUGGGCCUAAAAUAAAAAAGAGGGGGGGGGGGUUACUUUGAUCAGAGCACUUACACAAAAUGACUGAAAGUAUAGUAUUACGUCAAUUUAUGUUUUGAAAAUAAGGAACAUUUACUAGACUAUUGUACUUUAUUAGACAGACUAUAACUUUAUUUUUUAUGAAAGUGAAAAAAGUGAAUGAUUUCAUAAGUUUGUCCAACCCUUUAAAUAAAUAUGUACUCAAUUCCUGCAAUAAGCAAAUUCAUGUUGUGUCACAAAUGUUCAUUUAUCCCCAUCAGCAUGUAUGUCCUGGACACACCUCUUGUCCAGACCUAAUUUCCGAUUCCUAAAUAGUUACAAAUUGUGUCUGAAUCGUGUUACAACCUCACUCACACACGCGUGUGCUGGUCACGUUUAUAGCGCGCGCGCGUCGGCUUCUCAGAAGAUGUCUCCUCGUAAUUAAAUGUGUUGCCGGAAACCUGCUUAACAAGCUAGCUUAAAAAAAAAGAUAGCAGGUGAACCCAUCAAAGUUUGAGCACCGUCAUCUCUGUCAGGACCGUCACACAGGCGCACGCGGCUGUAAUUCCGCGCGGCUCGUGACACGCGCAGCAGAGACCGCACACGGACCCCCACGCGGACGCUUUCCUUACCUGUUCGGCUGUUCCGGUCAGCAGCAUCCGAGGACGUCCUGCCGCGCGCGCGCUGUCCGGAAGGACUAAGCAGCUCCAGAUGGAGAAACGGCAGAAAAACCAGAAGCAAUAUAUACUGUGAGCCAGAAAUCCCAGCAUGACAGAGGAGGGAACGCCGAGGCUCAUUAACAGCAGCCGCCUGGACUGAUCCCACCACCGAGUCCGGGGAGUAAAAGCCAAGUCACUCCAUUACAGCAAAGAGAGAGACUUCUAAAGGGCACGACCAUCUGGAGCAAGUCUCUGUUUUCUUAGCAGCAGAGCUUGGUGGGAGUUUGAGCCCAGACUCAUCAAGCAGCCUGAUAAUCAGGUGCCACCGAAAUCCAUUCAUGUUGCUCCGGAUCGGGUCAAUUGUUGCCUCCGGCGAAAUAUAGCAACUGGAGGAAAUUGACUUGGAAGGGGAAAAAAAAAAAAAAACUCAACGAUGAUUGUAAUGCAGGGUGGGAGCUCGUAGGGGAAAACUGACAUGGGCGGAAAAGUGUGAACUCAAAGUGGCACGCCUCUUCAAAGCGACCAGAAAGAAGUAGGACAAAGUUUUAAGUAAAAAAUAAAGUGGAAGCGAGCCUUCUCCCUCUCCGCUUUUGGACCUGGGGAAGUGUCAGCGUACUGCCGCAGGGACGGGUGAAAACCCCCAGAAUCCACCGCUGAGAUGAUAUUCAUCCCCCGAAGACAAAUGGCUGCAUAUGAAAAAUUGAUAUAGGGCAAAAAAUAGAAUUAAGCCGAGAAAGGCUGACUGAAGUACAAGACGAGCAGGAAUCCACAAAUUACGUUGGUGCAGUUUACUCAAAUUAAUUAUUAACUGGGCUGCAGCUUUCUAUCAGUAAGUAGACACACAAUUACAAAGACACAAGGUUUUAAGAGUACACCCAGGGAAAAACUAAUGAAGGAGGAGCCACAGAUUGAUGGCAAAGUCCGGGGGCCAUUCGUUCACCUGCAGCAUAAAUUGCUGUAAAUUCGUCUAAAUGAAGACGUCUCAAUAUUACAAAUACAACAAACACUUUUUUGACGAUGUCUGAACUGCCUCUGGCUGUUUCCCCCGCAUUCCCUUCCGCACUCAAACUGCUGCCAAUCUUUCACCGUGAUGUCUUAAGUUAGUUUCCUCCUCAUAAUGUGAGCUCGCCUCUAUUUAAAUAUAAAAGGGGAAAACUUUUGAUUGCAUUUGAGGUGUAACGUCCGUCUCAUUGCCCCAGGCUGUGGAGCAGUGGUCCCUACACGUACCAGCACGCCACAGGUUUGAGUCUGCUUGAGUCAGUUAGAGUUUCAACUAAAUGGAAAAUUACUGCCUGAAUAUAUAAUGGUCCUCAAAACACCUGAGGUAAUGUAAACUUUGAAAAAUGUAAAAAAAAAAAAAAAUGUAUAUUGUAGAUGUUGUUAGCAACACCUAACUAACACAUACAGUGAAUCUUUGAGUAUUUAUGCGAUCAACGUGAAUUAUGUGAUGCUGAAGUGGAAAAAGCGGCUUUUAAUAUCAGGUGAUACAUUACUAAAUUAAAGUGAUGCAUUCAGGUGCAAAGCUGAUUUUCUCUGCUUCAGAAUACACUGGAAUUACACUAAUUUCAGUGAAGCUCGGGUUUUACAGAUUUAACAUUGAAGAUGCUACUGGCGACACCUAAAUUACACUCUUUGAAUAGCUCUUUGAACUACCAUAACUCUUCGACCAUUCAUGUAAAUUGCGUGAUUCCCACAAAUUCUGAUGUGGAGAAAAGCGGAGGGCAGCAUUGUUAUGGCAACCCUGUCUACAGUCUAGGGGGAACACCAAAAGGACCAUAAUAUAUGAGAAACUGAACACCAAAGAUCAUGAGAAACACAGUUUAUUGACAAAAAGAAAAAAAUAAAUAAACCAUGUCCUGUAAAGCAAAAAGAAGUUAUUGUGCUGGUU